CCGCACAAGCGGUGGAGUAUGUGGUUUAAUUCGAUGCAACGCGAAGAACCUUACCUGGUCUUGACAUCCCGGAGACCCUUAGGAAACUAGGGGGUGCUUCCAUCUGGAAGAAUCUGGAGACAGGUGCUGCAUGGCUGUCGUCAGCUCGUGUCGUGAGAUGUUGGGUUAAGUCCCGCAACGAGCGCAACCCUUGCCUUUAGUUGCCAGCAGUUCGGCUGGGCACUCUAAAGGGACUGCCGGUGUUAAACCGGAGGAAGGUGGGGAUGACGUCAAGUCCUCAUGGCCUUUAUGACCAGGGCUACACACGUACUACAAUGGCCGAUACAAAGGGCAGCGACACUGCGAGGUGAAGCCAAUCCCGUAAAAUCGGUCUCAGUCCGGAUUGGAGUCUGCAACUCGACUCCAUGAAGUUGGAAUCGCUAGUAAUCGUGGAUCAGCAUGCCACGGUGAAUACGUUCCCGGGCCUU
rnacentral:rRNA from 1 species